rnacentral:piRNA from 1 species
GGCUUAUAUGGACACUAGGUGAGUUA